rnacentral:rRNA from 1 species
AUUGAACGCUGGCGGCAUGCUUUACACAUGCAAGUCGAACGGUAACAGGCCGCAAGGUGCUGACGAGUGGCGAACGGGUGAGUAAUGCAUCGGAACGUGCCCAGUCGUGGGGGAUAACGCAGCGAAAGCUGCGCUAAUACCGCCUACGAUCUAUGGAUGAAAGCGGGGGACCGUAAGGCCUCGCGCGAUUGGAGCGGGCGAUGUCAGAUCUAGGUAGUUGGUGGGGUAAAGGCUGACCAAGCCAACGAUCUGUAGCUGGGCUGAGAGGACGACGGGACACACUGGGGUUGGGACGCGGCCCAGAGUCCUACGGGAGGCAGCAGGGGGGAAUGUUGGAGAAGGGACGCAAGCCUGAUCCAGCAAUGCCGCGUGCAGGAAGAAGUCCUUCGGGUUGUAAACUGCUUUUGUACGGAACGAAACGGUCCUGGUUAAUACCUGGGGCUAAUGACGGUACCGUAAGAAUAAGCACCGGCUAACUACGUGCCAGCCGCCGCCGUAAGAC